rnacentral:rRNA from 1 species
GAUGAACGCUGGCGGCGUGCCUAAUACAUGCAAGUCGAGCGAACAGAUGAGGAGCUUGCUCCUCUGACGUUAGCGGCGGACGGGUGAGUAACACGUGGAUAACCUACCUAUAAGACUGGGAUAACUUCGGGAAACCGGAGCUAAUACCGGAUAAUAUAUUGAACCGCAUGGUUCAAUAGUGAAAGACGGUUUUGCUGUCACUUAUAGAUGGAUCCGCGCCGCAUUAGCUAGUUGGGAAGGUAACGGCCUACCAAGGCAACGAUGCGUAGCCGACGUGAGAGGGUGAUAGGCCACACUGGAACUGAAACACGGUCCAGACUCCUACGGGAGGCAGCAGUAGGGAAUCUUCCGCAAUGGGCGAAAGCUUGACGGAGCAACGCCGCGUGAGUGAUGAAGGUCUUCGGAUCGUAAAACUCUGUUAUUAGGGAAGAACAAAUGUGUAAGUAACUAUGCACGUCUUGACGGUACCUAAUCAGAAAGCCACGGCUAACUACGUG